AUACGGAGGAUCCGAGCGUUAUCCGGAUUUAUUGGGCUUAAAGGGUGCGCAGGCGGCCAUUUAAGUCAGCGGUUAAAUCGUGGGGCUCAACCCCAUUCUGCCGUUGAUACUGGGUGGCUUGAUUGCGGUCGAGGUUGGCGGAAUUCGUUGUGUAGCGGUGAAAUGCAUAGAUAUGACGAAGAACACCGAUUGCGUAGGCAGCUGACCAGACCGCAAAUGACGCUCAUGCACGAAAGUGCGGGGAUCGAACAGGAUUAGAUACCCUGGUAGUCCGCACAGUAAACGAUGAAUACUUGUUUUCGGCGAUAUAACGUCGGAGGCAAAGCGAAAGCGAUAAGUAUUCCACCUGGGGAGUACGCCGGCAACGGUGAAACUCAAAUGAAUUGACGGGG
rnacentral:rRNA from 1 species